rnacentral:rRNA from 1 species
AGUGAACGCUGGCGGUAGGCCUAACACAUGCAAGUCGAACGGCAGCACAGUAAGAGCUUGCUCUUACGGGUGGCGAGUGGCGGACGGGUGAGGAAUACAUCGGAAUCUACUUUUUCGUGGGGGAUAACGUAGGGAAACUUACGCUAAUACCGCAUACGACCUACGGGUGAAAGCAGGGGAUCUUCGGACCUUGCGCGAUUGAAUGAGCCGAUGUCGGAUUAGCUAGUUGGCGGGGUAAAGGCCCACCAAGGCGACGAUCCGUAGCUGGUCUGAGAGGAUGAUCAGCCAAACUGGAACUGAGACACGGUCCAGACUACUAAGGGAGGCAGCAGUGGGGAAUAUUGGACAAUGGGCGGAAGCCUGAUCCAGACAUACCGCGUGGGUGAAGAAGGCCUUCGGGUUGUAAAGCCCUUUUGUUGGGAAAGAAAAGCAGCAGGUUAAUACCCCGCUGUUCUGACGGUACCCAAAGAAUAAGCACCGGCUAACUUCGUG